rnacentral:rRNA from 1 species
GAUGAACGCUGGCGGCGUGCCUAAUACAUGCAAGUCGAGCGAACAGAUAAGGAGCUUGCUCCUUUGACGUUAGCGGCGGACGGGUGAGUAACACGUGGGUAACCUACCUAUAAGACUGGGAUAACUUCGGGAAACCGGAGCCAAUACCGGAUAAUAUUUCGAACCGCAUGGUUCGAUAGUGGAAGAUGGUUUUGCUAUCACUUAUAGAUGGACCCGCGCCGUAUUAGCUAGUUGGUAAGGUAACGGCUUACCAAGGCGACGAUACGUAGCCGACCUGAGAGGGUGAUCGGCCACACUGGAACUGAGACACGGCCCAGACUCCUACGGGAGGCAGCAGUAGGGAAUCUUCCGCAAUGGGCGAAAGCCUGACGGAGCAACGCCGCGUGAGUGAUGAAGGUCUUCGGAUCGUAAAACUCUGUUAUUAGGGAAGAACAUACGUGUAAGUAACUGUGCACGUCUUGACGGUACCUAAUCAGAAAGCCACGGCUAACUACGUG